rnacentral:rRNA from 1 species
GACGAACGCUGGCGGCGUGCCUAACACAUGCAAGUCGAGCGGAGUUGACAAGAGGAAGUUUUCGGAUGGAAUCUUGCCAGCUUAGCGGCGGACGGGUGAGUAACGCGUGAGCGACCAACCUUGCACAGGGGGAUAACGGACCGAAAGGUUCACUAAUACCGCAUGAGACCACGGUGUUGCAUGACACAGGGGUCAAAGGAGGAAUCCGGUGCAAGACGGGCUCGCGUCCGAUUAGGUAGUUGGAGGGGUAACGGCCCACCAAGCCUAUGAUCGGUCGGCAACCUGAGAGGGUGAUCGGCCACAUUGGAACUGAGAUACGGUCCAAACUCCUACGGGAGGCAGCAGUGGGGAAUAUUGGGCAAUGGGGGAAACCCUGACCCAGCAACGCCGCGUGAAGGAAGACGGUUUUCGGAUUGUAAACUUCUGUCCUUGGGGAAGAGAAGAAGACGGUAGUCAAGGAGGAAGCCCCGGCUAACUACGUGCCUGCCGCCGCGGUAA